CUGCUGUGUGUGCGUAGGAAGGGAGGAGAUCAUGGCUGCCAUUGACCAGAAUUAUACCAUUGGCUUGUUGAGAGCUUGCAACCUGAAAGCACUUGUGUACUUAAAUGAAGGCUCUGAGAAACUCAUAAAGGAAUACCUGGACGCGGACUGAUGCCCAGAGCCAGAUGGAGAAAACCACCAUCGGGAUCUUUCUAAUCAAACAUGAGGGUGCCAAUGCCUCCACUAGAAGAUGUAGACAUUAUAGUUGAAUCACUAACAAUGUAACAAAACUAAACAUGCUGUGUUUAGCAGACAUAUUUUUCUGUUCAUUGCAUUUCUAUUUUACUAAAAAAUGUCCCUGAUGGAUUGAUGAGAAUGGAGACAAAGGUUGCUGCUAAAUAAAUGCAGAUUUGUUUUGAA